rnacentral:misc_RNA from 1 species
GCAAACUUGGUCAUUUAGAGGAAGUAAAAGUCGUAACAAGGUUUCCGUAGGUGAACCUGCGGAAGGAUCAUUAACGAUUGACCAAGCCGGUCGACCGUGCUGGUGGAAACGCAUGUGCACGUCGGUCGCAAACAUCCACACACCUGUGAACCUAUGGCCUUUGAGUCUUCGGACUCGGGGGCAAACCAUUUUUUACACUCUGUUUGUAAAGGAAUGUUUCUGUGCUAAACGCGCAAAAGCUAACAACUUUCAACAACGGAUCUCUUGGCUCUCGCAUCGAUGAAGAACGCAGC